GUGGAGUCCGGAAACCCGCAGAGAAACGGCCGAAACAUUGGCUGGGAUGUGGAAGGCCAAGGUGUUAGUGGCCAGUGAAAAAAAGCUGAUGUACUAAAGAAAGAGAAGGAGUUCCUAGACACCGCAAUCAGAGUAGAUGAGGCUAUGGAUGAGUCUGAUGCCACAGAUGAGGACAUGGAGGAUGAGGCUUCAACCUCAAAAAAAGAUGUGAGAAAGAUGGUUGGGAAAGCUGACGGAUCUGCUAUGGCAGAGCUUCUAAAGAAGAAAAAGACUGAAGACCAGCGGAACCAUGAAGGUCAGUUUUAAAGUUUAUUAUUUACGGCAAGAUUCUGUGGCCAAUUAAAUGAAAAAUCAUGACCAGAAAA